rnacentral:lncRNA from 1 species
UUAUUGUAUGGUUAUUUCAAGCAGGCCAGGAGGAGAACAAGAUGCCUCAAAGAUUUACUGUGGGAAUGAAGGAACUAAGGAAGACCCAAAUGCAGCUCUUAAGAGAUGCUGCCCUCAAAGUUUCAAUUUUCAGUUGCAUCAGUUAAUUGCUGUUUAUGUGGAAUUUUGUGUUUUGAAUUUGAAGCUUGACUAAAGCCUG